rnacentral:tmRNA from 1 species
GGGGCUGCCUUGGUUUUGACGGUUGGGUAAAUUGGAAUGUAAGCAUGUCGAGCUUUGUGUUUUGGCUCGUUAAUCCUGGAACUCAAAUUUAUAAACGGCGAUAAUAAUUACGCGCUUGCUGCUUAAUCUCACUCAGUGAAUUAAACUUAAUCUGUGGUCUAGGUACUACAGACAAGCUGUCUCUCAAAGGGCGUUGUUUAACCGCACUUGAUUCAGAGGCAUCGUAAAUGUUGAACUAGUUUAGUUGGCGCUUCGACAACUAAGCGAAAUUAAGAAGCUAAGGUUUAGCUCGGCUGCUCUUUGCCAGACUACUCACGAAAACUAAUAAUGAGAUAAGCAUGUAGAAAGCAUUUGGAUUCCUUGUCCGGACGCGGGUUCGACUCCCGCCAGCUCCACUU